rnacentral:lncRNA from 1 species
GCGGCCGCCGGAGCCGCUAGGCGCAGAGGCAGCUCACAAGUGUAGGGCUGGAGCUACAGGAACCAUCCAGGUGCACUGGCUUUGCCUCUGCAUCUUUCUGUGCCACUGUCUCAUUCUGUUUCCGGCUGUGCAUGGAUGUGGAUGGCCCAGAAAGCAUGGAAGGGGAAUAAACUGGACUGAUCUUCCUGUCCACCCUCCACGACUAACAAGGACUCUGGUGAUCUCGUUCCAGGUGGUGUGAACUUCUCCUG